rnacentral:rRNA from 1 species
GACGAACGCUGGCGGCGUGCCUAAUACAUGCAAGUCGAGCGGACUUUCAAGAAGUUUGCUUUUUGAAAGUUAGCGGCGGACGGGUGAGUAACACGUGGGCAACCUGCCUGUAAGACGGGGAUAACUCCGGGAAACCGGGGCUAAUACCGGAUAAUAUCUUUCUUCGCAUGAAGGAAGGUUGAAAGGCGGCGCAAGCUGCCGCUUGCAGAUGGGCCCGCGGCGCAUUAGCUAGUUGGUGAGGUAACGGCUCACCAAGGCGACGAUGCGUAGCCGACCUGAGAGGGUGAUCGGCCACCCUGGGACUGAGACACGGCCCAGACUCCUACGGGAGGCAGCAGUAGGGAAUCUUCCGCAAUGGACGAAAGUCUGACGGAGCAACGCCGCGUGAGCGAAGAAGGUCUUCGGAUCGUAAAGCUCUGUUGUCAGGGAAGAACAAGUACCGUUCGAAUAGGGCGGUACCUUGACGGUACCUGACCAGAAAGCCACGGCUAACUACGUGCCAGCAGCCGCCGCCG